rnacentral:rRNA from 1 species
UACGUAGGGUGCAAGCGUUAAUCGGAAUUACUGGGCGUAAAGCGUGCGCAGGCGGUUUUGUAAGUUUGUCGUGAAAUCCCCGGGCUUAACCUGGGAAUUGCGAUGAAGACUUCAAGGCUAGAAUCUGGCAGAGGGGGGUAGAAUUCCACGUGUAGCAGUGAAAUGCGUAGAGAUGUGGAGGAACACCGAUGGCGAAGGCAGCCCCCUGGGUCAAGAUUGACGCUCAUGCACGAAAGCGUGGGGAGCAAACAGG